AGAAGAGGGAAGACACGUGUGGAAGGAGCUGGUAGACCAUCGGACGGAGUGGACUGGGUUCUGAGGGCCCGAAGAUGCUGUGGUGUUAUUUUACUCGACCACUUCUCACUGAACUUAUAAAAAUUUGAACAUCUCACUGUGAUUCAACAAGAUUUACACCAUCUGCAGAUUUUUGAUCUUCAGUGAGUGUGUCUACAAUCCCUUGUUUCUGAAGCCACAGUGUGUUUCCACUGAGCCACAGCUGACACUUAGGGUCCUACUCCAUAUAAUUGAUGCAGAGUGAGGAGGGACAGCCAUUUUUCUUCUUAACUUUACAACAGAAAAAACAUUUCCCAAGCACAAGGGGGAAAAUUAUUCUUUUUUUUUUCACUCUUGACUCUAAGAUGCACAACACUUAGAUUAGGAUUUCUCUUAUCAGAAAUGCAAACAUGAGCUGACAAACUUCGCUGUUGUUAGACUUCACACAAACACACAAUGAAGCUCGGGAUUUUCUCCUCACUUCCAGAAAUUGUUUUUUUUAACAACAUGUCUCUGGGUCCCAAUAGAUCCACAUCAUCUCCCAAAAUUUGUAAAAACCUAAAAAUGCAGAGGUUUCUACCAGGAAGAUGAUGAAAUUCAAAUUUAUCCUCUUUGAUGUCCUAUUUUAGAUUUUGAAUUUCAGUUUAGUUUAUUGAUGCAUACACCAUAGAUUCAAGCAAGAUAUGACAUGUAGCAUAUUGUAUAAUCUCCUAAGAAUGUCACAGAGGAAACUAUGUACACGCCAAUAAUAAACACAACAAUGUACACAUCAAUGAGAACAAAACACCAGAAUGUGCAAAGAUUAUUGUGCAAUUUAGCAGAAUAAUUUGGAAUCACAGGCACCUAGUCCUAUUGUUUGCAGCUACUGAGCUCAAUUAAUUGACCUUCAUGACUUCUUCAAACUGGAAAUAGUUCUUUGAAUGAAAAAAAAAUAUAAACAUCAUAUUUCAACCUCAGUGGUUAUCUUCCCAUUCAGUCACUGCAUCCCCUAACAAAUGGUUGCAAUAGCUUAGUGUUCAAUGAAGGAACCACUGUUUCUUUGAUCAACUUUCAAAAUUCAGAUCCAUCGAUAACAAAUUACCUUUGACCAUGCUCUCUUUGGUUUGUUCAGGAGUGACUGUGCAGUAUUAUAGGAUGAAGAUCCACCACUAGCCAAUCAGGGUUGCUUGAGAUGGGCUUCAGGCCCUUCUUCAAUGAGAAAGAACGGGCUUCUUCCAAACCUGAGUAUGGAGAUCACCAGCUGGACAUCUGACUGGUCCAAUACUGUGACCUAGCGGUGGAGAGUGAGAUACGACAGAGGCUUUGAUUGGUGGGUUCAGGAUGUUAGAGGAGGAUAACAUCAGGUGAUUGCAUAGCAGUCAGGGACAUUGAGCUGAUGAAUGUUUUUAGAUCUGUAAUCCUUAGAGUGGAGAAGAAUAGUAGAUGACCCUAUUGACACAUAAAAUAUUCUGAGGGCCAGACGUUGAGAUAUGUAUAAACAUCCGGUUAGCCGCCCCGGAGUAUUUUGUGCAUUUCUGAUUGUCAUACUACAGUAAAGCUGAAGAAGUUUUGGAGGAGGUUUACCAGGAUGAGUCUUUAACCCAAGGGGGAAAUAUCAAAUGCAUUCCGGCGGAAAUAGCACAGAAGAAGAGAUGGGGAUUAGGGCAGAUUAGCAAUGAUCGUACUGAGAGUGGUUUGAGGGGCUAAGUGGCCUACCCUGCUUCUAGUUCCUGAUGUGCUCAUGUACCUUGGAUAGAAAAAUGAAUGGUGAUGAUUUGCACAUAUAUAUAUAUUCCUCUGUUUCACAAAUACAACAUAAAAGUGCUUCUGCCUAGAAACUUAAUUG